ensembl:ncRNA C15H9.13 ncRNA
ACAUUUGUGAUAUUAGUUUUUAAGUUAAAAAUGGAAAAUGGGGAUUAGGGGUACGCGUCAAAUCUUUAAAUUUGGCAAUUUUGAAAAGCUCGGUGAACUUGGCAAAAUUGUUGCACAUCCCUGGUGGGUAUAUGUUUUUCGAUUUUUCAA